rnacentral:lncRNA from 1 species
CUCAAUCUCCCAGGCUCAAGCGAUCUUCCUGCCUGAGCCUCCAGAGUAGCUGGGACUAUAGGUGCCUGCCACCAUGCCUGACUGAUUUUUUAUUUUUUUGUAGAGAUGGGGUUUCACCAUGUUGCUCAGGGUGGUCUUGAACUCCUGGACUCAAGUGAUCCACUCCCUUCAGCCUACCCAGGUGCUGGGAUUACAGGGUGAAUAGAACACUGAUUCUUACAUAGCCUGUGAGCAAGAACAGGGUGAUUUUGGUGGAAAUAAAAUGCAACAUGAGUUUUCCCAGCCAGCCACGCGAGGUCCUCAGCUGAGGGACAGCAAGAUUGAAGGACGAUCGAAAUGAAAGAGAAGGUUAACUACGGCACAGAAUUUCCAAUGGGGACUGUGUUAGAGGUGGUAGCCAUGAGACAGGGCCAGCUGACACCCGUGGGGACGCACUGCAGCAGCUGGAUGAAUGAGGGCUAUGAGCGACAAUGAGUUUGGAGCCGAUUUUGCCAUAGGUCAGAGAGAACAGCUGGCAGGAUGUCAUCUCCCCAUCUCCAACCAGCAAAUAGGUGGCAAUCUUUUACUCUAGCAAAGAGCUAGAAACAAGUAUUUCUGCAUUAGUAACAAACCGCGGAGGUAGUUUAAGGGAUUUUUUCAAUACAUAGAUCUUGAGGGAGGCAGUUAUAAUAAAGCAGGAUAAUUAGCAAACUUUCCUAGGUAAUAUAUUCAUAGGACAAGGAAAAUCCUAAUUUCCCCCUUGAAUUUAUUGGCUGGCUAGAGCCAAUUAUAUUUACAUUUUAAACUCACAGAAAAAUAUCAGUAACUACUUUAAAAAAAAAAAAAAAAAACUAGGGAUACAAAUAAUGACAGCAAAAAUCCAUUUUUUUAGAAGUUGGCAAAAAACAGUAUUUUAUGAAAAUAAAAGACAUAGUUUAUCCCAGUGGUUUAAAAUUAACACAAACAUCUUUUAGACACUUAUCCUAUCAUAGCAACAUAUAAUUUAAAACAACUUCCUUCAGAUUUAGAAGCAGUGCUUAAACAGAACUGCUAAUUGACACUUAGUGAGAAACAAUUUAUGGUGUAUUUCAUUUUUCAUUGCUAUAAAACUGGUUUAAAAUAAUGAGGCUCAUGAAGGAUAUGACCCAGACCAUAAAAUGUACUUAUUAGAGUUGUUUGAUAAAUCACGAAGGGGAGAUUCUCACCUCUUAAUAAGUGUAAGGCACUGUGAUGUGACAGCCAGACACAGAGAGGGUGUGGCAGGUGUCCUGGUAGCACGUGGGCCCUCUCUCUCUCUCCAGGUGUUGGAGAACGGUGCGUCUCUGAAUGCCCAGCCACCCUCACUUCCCCUGAUCUUUAAUAUGCAAUCUAGUGUCCAGACACAGUGAAGCUGGAUGCCAGGGUAGGAAAACAACCUAACCAGGGAUCCCAUCUGGGUUCUGUCAGACCCUGAAGAUAGGACCAGCAUCCCCAGGCUUACAGCUUCCUGUAAUCUAGCUAGAAAUGUUCCUCCCAGGGCCAUCCCUGUACAGGAGCCUCAUUCACACAUUCAUAUGCUCAUUCGUCUUUUUGCUUGUUCAUUCCCCAAAUGUGCCUUGAGUAUCUACUUGAACACAGCAGACAUGGUCUCCACCCCUCUGGAGCUUGCAAGGGAGAACGGGGAAGGUGUUAAAUGCAUUGAGGGGGACUACGGAGCACAUGGGAACUCUAUACAAUGGGGACAUGGCAGAGAGGAAGACUCCAAUGAUGAGGGAUCCACGAAGGAUGGGGAGGCAGGGAAUGGGGCACCUGAAUCCCCUAAGGGAGUUGUAAACCCAACUAGAUUGUUUUACUGACCACAGGCGCUGCUAUUCACAAGGUUAUGAGCCAAGAAAGUACCAGCCAUUGCAACCUCAAGGAGCUAUGGAUGUGCUGAGAGCUCAGUAAAUGAGCAGGGACUCAGGGACAGGUCAAACAGGCUGCAGAGGUGGGACCUUUGAGAUCAGAGUCAACUGACUAAGAAUAAAGCAGGCCUGUCUCUUGGAUGGGGUAACUGGGCAGCCACCCUAGGCUUGUAAAAUUUCUGUCUUUAACAAUAUCCCAAGGGUGCAAUAGAAGAUGUCAAUAGUAUGGCCUCCUUUCAAGUGUGUUUCCCAGAGCAGCCCUAGCAUUAGCUGAGUUGCCUGGGAGCCCCAUGCCUUUCUGUCCGUGGCCCUGACUAUAGUGCUAUACAGUGGGUGCUAUCAUGGAUGGGUUUUGCUCAUUUCCUGAACAAAAACAAGAUAACUAGUUGCACCUCAGCAGCCUUGGUUCAGGGAGCAUUUAAGACCUGCCACAACACUGGAAGUUCCAGCAAAUGUCCAGAGAAGCAGGCAAGGGAGAUACAUCUGAGGACCCCUUCCCUUGUCAUUAUCAUAUUACAUAAGCCAUGCCCUUUUCUGUCAUAGACACCCCUUCCUAGAAAGAAACUAUAGAAGACAGAUGAAUAUGAGAGAUUAGGCGUUUUGCCUGAAAAGGAAUAUCAUCCUUAGAGGAUGGUUCACAUUAAGGGAUUGUACUGAGAUUAUGGAAUGGAGUAAAUUUUUUUCCUCACUAGCUGGUGAAUGAGUCCCCUCAUAAUCCACUAAAAAACCAUGCUUCUUUGAAUGUAGUUAAGUAAUUUAUGACCCCACAAUUUGCAUAAUCGAAUAUUAUAUAUCUAUUUAAAAUAAUGAUUCAGGUCUAUAUUUGAUAACUUAGAAAGCUGUCCAUGAUACAUUAGAGUGAAAAAGCAAGUCACAGAACUUUAAGUAUACUUUAAUUCUGUUUAUGUAAAACUGUGUGAGUGUACUCAAGCAUAAAACGAAGUCUGAAAAGGUGUUCACCAAAAUAUUAACAUGGAUUAUCUCUGGAUGAUAAUAUCAGAUGACUUCUUUUUCACUUUCUUCAUACUUUUCUGGAUUGCCUUAAUAUGCUUCUACAGUGAGAAUGCUUUGUUUUUAUAGGAGCUAGGUUAAUUUUAAAAAAACUUAUUAGUAACUUUUGAAAGUGGAAUUCUUAUUUACUUAAUUCCUUGCAGAUUAUUCUUUUUCUUGGAUAGGAAGCCAAAAUACUCUUCAGAGAUGCAUUGCCUAGUUGAGCAACUUCACCAUAGCAGUUUCUGUCUGUUGCUGAGAGGCUACCUGGUAACUUCCUACAGCCAACCAUCCUAUGUGAACUGUAACUUCCCCUUAAGAAAAAAAUAUCUAUCUUUGACAUUAUUGUGGCAGAUCCUCCAGAGAGUCUGAAGACACGGGCUCUUCCUAUAUCCUUGUAACUGAAUUUCUAGGGAAAAAAUAAUUGAUGAAAAUUGUUAAUAUCACUUUACUUUUUUAAAGUACAAAAUAAAGGCUAAGUCGUCAAAAGAAGAGGUGAGAAUUUGAAGAACACUGCUCUUUGGGGAAGGAAGGACACUAGGUUGGGUUGAAUUUGCUUCCUAGCCCAUUCAUGUUUAUUAUCAGGAAUUUGGAAGUCAGCGUCAGAGCAUAACCUUUCCAAUAUUGCAUACCAAGCCGUCAGCACUGGCGUUUCAGAGAGCCUUCCAGGAGCUGGCGGUGAAGCACAGUGACCUAAUCCAAAUCAGAGUGGAAUGAAGUCUUGAAAGCACCAUCCUUCCCUCUCUCGGCUUGGGUAGCAGAAAGCACAUUUACUCAGUGACAAGGAAACAUUGUGUGCUGUGUCCACCGUGUCAUGGAUAUCCUGGUCUAAAGUGACAGGAUAUUGGAAGGAAAUUGUUUUUUAAUCUAAAAUGUGUUUAGAGUUUCUAAACUUAGUUUAGUAUUUUAUGAUUGGAUUUUCUAGAAGAGACACAGGUAGAUUUGAGCCCUGACAAUACGCUGGGCACUUGGAGAGCUAUCUAAGAACAAAUGCCUGCCCCGGCAGUUCAGACACAGGUCCUGGCUCACCCUCCAGCCCCAAACCCUUCCGCUCUCCUCUUUGCUGGCUUGUCUCCGGCUGCACCAGGCUCCAGCCACAACAGGAUUUUUGCUGUUUCUCAAAUACAACAAAUAUGAUCUGAUGAAAGGCAUUUGCUGUUUCCUUUCCUCUGCCUGGAUCUUCUCAGCUCAAACAUCACCUAGCAGAGUCUCCUUCCCUAUAAAGAUAGCACCCUACUCUCUAUGCAGUCACUCCUACACGAGCGUGCCCCUGCUUUAUUUUAUACAUAGCACUUAUUCCUCCCUAAUCUAUUGUGCAUUUGCUUAUUUGUCUACCCCCACCAGAAUGCCAGCUUCAUGAAAAGAACUAUUGUAUGUUUUGUUCACUACAGCGUCCCUAGCACCUAGAGCAGUGCCUGACACAUGGUAGAUAUCCAGUAGGGUUUUGUUGAAAUGAAUGAAUAAAUGAAUGAUUGAAUUCACUUUACCCAAUGCACAUGUUCCCAAGUAAUUGUAUAUAAGUUAAUUAUGAGUGGAAACAUUUUAAAUGCACUAGGAAAAAGUUGUUCAAAUGAAUCCUAUCUUUAACCAAUUCUAUAAAAGGAAUUAUAAUUCCCAG